AACCAUAGAAACCUGCGGAGUACCUGCGGAAGGAUCAUUAUAGUAUAUGGAAUCUCCAUUCUAUAAACCCACUCUGCGUAUCUUGUAACUGUUGCUUCAUGGGACUUGGUUCCGCCACACCGGCUUCACGGCUGGUGAGCGCCCAUGGAAGGAGAAACAAAACUCUUCUUUGAAAUGUAGUCAGUCUGAACAAGUUUUUAUAAACGUUAAAACUUUCAACAACGGAUCUCAGAUCGGAAG
rnacentral:misc_RNA from 1 species